UACGGGGGGGGGCAAGCGUUGUUCGGAAUUACUGGGCGUAAAGGGCUCGUAGGCGCCAACUAAGUCAGACGUGAAAUCCCUCGGCUUAACCGGGGAACUGCGUCUGAUACUGGUUGGCUUGAAUCCGGGAGAGGGAUGUGGAAUUCCAGGUGUAGCGGUGAAAUGCGUAGAUAUCUGGAGGAACACCGGUGGCGAAGGCGGCAUCCUGGACCGGUAUUGACGCUGAGGAGCGAAAGCCAGGGGAGCA
rnacentral:rRNA from 1 species